GACGAACGCUGGCGGCGUGCUUAACACAUGCAAGUCGAACGGAAAGGCCUGCUUUCCCUUGUGGAUUGCGGGUACUCGAGUGGCGAACGGGUGAGUAACACGUGAGUGAUCUGCCCCCAACUUGGGUAUAAGCCUGGGAAACUGGGUCUAAUUCCCGAUAGGACUGCAGGGUGGUGCCUGUGGUGGAAAACGAUUUUCUAGUGGUUGGGGAUGAGCUCGCGGCCUAUCAGCUUGUUGGUGGGGUAAUGGCCUACCAAGGCGGCGACGGGUAGCCGGCCUGAGAGGGUGGACGGCCACAUUGGGACUGAGAGACGGCCCAGACUCCUACGGGAGGCAGCAGUGGGGAAUAUUGCACAAUGGGCGGAAGCCUGAUGCAGCGACGCCGCGUGGGGGAUGACGGCCUUCGGGUUGUAAACUCCUCUCGACCGCGAGGAAGCCACCUGGUUGGAAGGGUGGUGACGGUAGUGGUAGAAGAAGCACCGGCUAACUACGUG
rnacentral:rRNA from 1 species